UACAGAGGUCCCGAGCGUUGUUCGGAUUCAUUGGGCGUAAAGGGUGCGUAGGCGGCGGGGUAAGUUCGAUGUGAAAUCCCGGGGCUCAACCCUGGAAUGGCAUUGAAUACUGCCUUGCUAGAGUACCGGAGAGGAAACUGGAAUUUACGGUGUAGCAGUGAAAUGCGUAGAGAUCGUAAGGAAGACCAGUGGCGAAGGCGAGUUUCUGGACGGUAACUGACGCUGAGGCACGAAGGCCAGGGGAGCAAACGGG
rnacentral:rRNA from 1 species